UCAGCCCUCCACAUGGUCCUCCACAAGUCUGAGACUGACUUACAUCUUCACUAUUUCAAUCUUUGUUGCACAGCAGCUGCCUUGAAGUAUUUGCUCUGUGGUGACAGUGGUUUCCAAGUCCGUAUAGUGUCAUAGGGAACAUAGAGCUUGAGGCAGUAUAAUAGAUGAGAUAAUGUUGAAAAGGGCAAAAAUAUUUUCUUUCCAAAGCAUAUUUAGCACCUUUAGGGAAAUCUUAUCUUAUUUCACAUUAGCAUAUAUUUAUAUUUGUAUUUUUACAAAUAAGACUGCAAAGGGUUAUUUCUUGGUCUGAGAUUCUUUGAUGAAAGAUGCUAUAGAUGUGUGGAAUACUUAGAUACAGUGUUGUGCUAUUGAUUUGCUUCUAUUGGUAUGUGGAACUGAGAUCAAAACACCAUGUACAGCAAGGGAGUUACACACAUGCAUAACUUAAAUUAUGUGAAUGUUGACUAUCAAAUAUCAAAGACUGCCUACAUGUCUUAUAUACAGUGUGUGUAGAGCCACCUAUAGAUCAGAUCCCUAAGGGGAAUUCUGAGUGCUAUUUCCUUCAUAGGAAAUUCUGCAAAAUAUAUUUUUUAAUUGAAGUGUAAAUAGAGAAUAUAUUUUUAGUUCAAGUGUAAAUAGAGAAUAUUAAUGCUAGAAAUGUAAAGGAAAUGUGGCCUUUGAACACAAAGAAGUGUUUUCAUGCUUGUGCGUCAUUGUAGGUAUGUUGAAAAACAUGCAUUGCAUUUCACCUGUUGUGUCCUGUGUGCUUUAUAUGUGCAAACCCCUUUGACAUUGUUUUACAUGGUUUUGGUAGCUAAAUUUCUUCUAUGAAUACUUGAUACAUAGAGGAAUCAUCUUGCUUGUGUAGUGUGCAUGUGCUAGAAAAAAAUUGACGCACAUUGAUUUUGAUGUUUGGCAUACAUUUUAAAGCUUCACCCUAAAAUGUUCUAUUUCCCCUGAAGUGUUUAUCCAUUCUCUAUCUGAUAAUCGUCUAGGCCUCUGGGAUGAGGAAGGUUAUUUCAGGAGCUGAUUAAUAUUUUGUGUACACAAAGUAAAAGAAUUUAAAGAUAAGAGAAUUACCCUAUAGUAUGCUAUCCAAUAAUUCACGAGAGUGAAAUUCCCUGACUGCAGGAGAAUUUGUGAAAGUCAGAAGUGUUAAACACUUGAAAAAAGACUGCUGCUGCUUUGGGAGUGUAUUGGCAAGUAGACAAUGAGAUGGACGCCUCAUAAUUUUUCAUUAGAAAUGGCUGACUAGUCUUAGACACUUGGCUCUGGAAGGGUCUUGGUAGAUUGUAGGUGUGUUGGUCACAUGCUCAGUAAUGCCAGGCUUGGGUAGGCCUAUCUCAGCUUUAACAACACCAUGUAGUGUGCUGUGUAUAGGAACUGUGGUUUAGGGUCUUUGGCUGUCAGAGUGCACUGGAUGGUGACACUAAUGCAGACAUGCAGGCUGAGGGAUGGAAAUUGCUAUGGCUGUUUUCCUCUGUCACUGUGACAUAAGAGUCACAGCAUAGUGCCUUAUCAUGUCAGUAAAAAGGGAAAUGUUUAUUUAUGACAGAUGUCCAGUCAUGACUGAAGAAACAGUUACCUCUGAGGAAAGACUAAUGGUAGUUUCCCUUCCCCAAGAUAAUUCAAAGCAGAGAUAGUCUAUGAACUGGUUAAUCCAGCUUCACUGACUGAAGAGAAGUUGUGAGAAAGAUAUGAAGUUUUUUCAUCCUUCUUGUUUCUGGAAGUUAAACACAGAACAGGUAGAGCAGCUUUACUGAUUUUUAGUGACUGUUGGCAUUGAAAUUGGUUAUAUUUUGGUCCAUUAUCUCAAUAUUUUGUGUUUUAUCAUCCUGAAUAAGUAGCUGAUAGCAAUUUAAAAAUAGAUGUUUGGUAUUUGGAAAAAAAAUGUCAUGAAAUGACUGAAUGAGACUAUAAUGUUUCUUAAAAUAAUUUUAAAAACUCUAAGUCUGCUGAACUGAUAUGCCUAGCAGCAAUGUCAUUUCAGUUCUCUCCCUGCUAACUCUUUUAUUCAUCAUCUCUCCUUUUAUGCUUAAGAGAAGCACCUUUAAGAUCAGAGAAUUUAAGUAUAAAUGGUCUCCGGUCUCAUCAUUUUGAUAUUUUCACAGUCAAAACUGAAUUUGAAACAACUAGUUCAUUAAUGCCAUGGGAGUUUUUAACUGUACUACCAUGUGGAUCACUUAAAGUUUAAUAAAAAAGUGUAUCUCUCUUUUACUUAAAUGGGAAAUUUUAAAGUGAAUUUUUGAAAGUAACUUUGAGGAAAAUUCAUUACAUUUUGUCAAUAAAAAUUAGGAUUCAGUAAGUCAAGUCAGGCAGCAGCAAUUUUCAAACAGUUCUACAUUAAUGACCAAGAUCCCUGCCAAGCGCUUCAUGAUGAAUCUUUUAGAAUUAAAAUGCAAAAUAGGAUGAGAUAAAAAGAAGGUCAAAGAGAACUUGGGUGAGACCUUAUCAGGUAAGAUUUUUCAUUACUCUCCUCUUGUGUAAUUUUUACUUUGGGUGCAAAUGGAUUGUAAAAGUUAAUGAUUUAAGAACAGCAGAGUCCCAUGAUGAAAUCUUGCCCAUAGUGUUUAAAUACAGUUUGAAAGAUUAAGAACAGGUGAGUCAUACACUAUGUGAUGAAAAGUAGAUUAAUCACUAAUUUUCUGAUACAUUCUAUAAGAAUCUGUGAAUAAAAGUGCAGGACUCUAUUGGUUCUAUAGAAAAAAUGAUGUCAUAUGUAAUUUAUACCAUUAUACUGACUUGGUCAUUACUAAUGAAAAGAAAAAAAAAAGGUGGUGUCUCACUAGCUUGUAAAAUUUCUCAAAUACACACUUCUUCUGAAAUCUAGAGCUUGAGAAUUGUUAAAUAAGAACCUGACUUGGACCAUUAAUAAGCACCAUCUGUUAAACGGUCAAAUAAGAUUUUCACAUUGAGAAAGAUUGUUUCAAUGUUAAAUUUUAUGCAUAGACUUUUUUAAACCCAAUAAUAUUCUCCCUUUUUUUAAGUGUUGUGACUGGUUGAAAUGUGCACAUUUUCAUACAGAGAACCAGACAAUACCAUUUUUUAGCAGUGUUUAUUUUUGUAAAAAAAAAAAGAAACCAAUGAAUUUGAAAGGAAGUCAUAUCUGUCUUUUGAUUGCACACUUUUUAAACAAAAAUAACACAAGAUGAAGAAUGAAAAAUACAGUUUUUAUGUUGCUAUGUCAAAAUAACACCUAAGUUUAUGAAUGUUCAAAAUUAAAAUAUAUAUACCUAAAUGCUAAAAUGUCUAUUUUACAUUAUCUACAAAAUGUAUGUUCUACUCCAGCCCCAAAUCAUAGGAAAAUACUUUGAUACAUAUGAAAAGCUAUAAACAUAAGGAAAUUUUGGAGGGAAAUACACAUAAAAGCUCAUUAAAUAAUUACAACAACAAAUAAAUAGUUUGUUCAGCUUUACUUUUUGAUUGCUGCCAUGCAUAUUUUAAUUUUUGGUAUACUGAGAUAAGAGAAAGGUGAGCAUGCAAAGCACUUUGUUUUUAGAAUUAAUCUGAAAGCAGAUACAUGGUGUUGUAGUUUAAGCUGUUGUCAGAAGAUCAUAAAACAUGAUAUAAAAGGCAAUAGAUGUGAUAAAUGUUCUCAGGAAAACACACAACAAAGCAUCAUUUUACAAAAUUGACUUCAGUGAAUACUCUUGGCAAAUUUUCUUUGCUUCCAUGGCUGGAGAAAUUGUAAAAGUUUAUAGUGUGGUUUUGGAAGGCUUGUAUUAUUCCCCAUCUUGAGCAUUUGGAAAAUCACCCAAAAAGUCCAUAUGCUGAGAAUGCCCCUUUUGAUUUUGGUCAAAGCAAUAAGCAAACUGAGAACACAGCAAUGGCAGACUUGUCUUUAAGCAGUCAGAAUGGUAAAGCAAAUGGUUACAGGUGAGUUCAAUUUUGGCACAAGGAAUGGGAGAUGAGAGAGCAGAAAAUGUUUGACUUCUAACUUGUACUAUGCUUGCUGGAUUUACUGGCUCUUUUCCUUUCUUUGUGGUGCUGGAUGGGUUUUGCUUGAGAGGUUCCCUCGAAGUUGUGGCUGGACUCAUUGUGCUGCCUGGUGUACCUCUUGCACUUGCAGGCUGUGACCACAGUUAUUUUGUAGGUUCUUAUACUUCCAUCCUGGCACUGGAGCUGGAUCCUCUGAGUGCGAGUUUUGUCGUUGACACAUCUCCACUCCUGCGAGCUCCGCCUGCUCCAGUACUUGGUUCCGUAACCUCCUCCAAUCCAGUUGGGCAGCAGUGGCAAAGGGAGGCAUUCACCAGCACACACCAGUUCUUUCAGGGGAUUAAUGCUGGUGCACUGGCCAUCUGAGAUGUACUUGGUGGAUCUCAGUUCUCGACAACCAACUUGAACGCGAUCUGCAGAGUGCACAGAACAAUAAACACUGAGAUUCAGAAUGGAGUGAUUUCCUUAACCAGUCAUUUUCACAUUAACCAGUGGACUGAACUCUCCCAUGAACUCUGCGGCUCCGGGCAGACACUGCAGAAGUGGUAACAGCUGAAGUUACCACAGAAUGGGGUUCUGCCUAUGAAGUUUGGAUGAUUAGCAGCAACAAUUUCAGAGGGGUCCUUUCGCCCUCAAGAGAACACCCUCUUUGUAACUGUAGUAGUCUGUAUAUUGUGUGUAACAUAGAGGAUCCUGCAAAUUCUCUCAGGCAGCUGACAGAGCCAACACGCAGAGCUUCUCAUACAGGCAUGUUUGUACCCGUCUCUAUGUGCGGCUCUGCACCCUGCAAUAAACACAACUGUUUAUUUCAGUAAUUAUACUUUGAAAUAAACGCCCACAGUGUGCUUAAUUUUAAUAAGCAAUCUUUACUGUCUGUGCUCUCCCUCUUUCCGAAGGACAAUUACGGCACAGAUUCUACACACAAUGCAAUUAACUAACGCUUUUAAAAUAGAAGUAAUUACUAGAAACAUUUCAGAAUGAAUCAUAAAAGGCUUUGAAGGUACAUCUACAUAUCACAGCUACAGACUGCUUCUGUUUCUACUUGGAUUUUUGGAAGCAAGUUCUGAACUGAGGCACUGCGUUAAGAUUGCUUCACCCUGUCCUCUGUGUCUCAGGGUGGGCAGGAAGAGGGGACUGUAAAUCUGCAGGCUGAUCCCCGGGAAUAUUGACAGGGCUGCUCUACUGCCUGCUUUGCAGAAAAGAUUCAGGCUUGCCUUCCUGCAGCUGCACUCAGGAAUGUACCUGGAAGCAUCUGGUCACAGAUCUGAGUUUGUCUUUCCUUCUGUUUUUCUGUCUUCCCCGGCUCAGCUUUUCACCAGUGACAGCUCAGUGACAAUGAAUACCUACUGGGCUGUCCCAGUAAUCUCAUAAUGAUGAGAUGUUUCCUGUGCAUUAAAACCCUUUAGCAUUCAUAAAAGCUGACACACCUGGCUUAGCUGAAAGGUAUCGGUGUCACUUGUUGCCUUCACUUUCCAGGGAUGACUCUAUUUUUAUCAAGUUGCUGUGGGUGGGUUGGUGUGUGUGAAUGUUUCCUCUACCUGGAUUUCUUUCAUUUUAAGGAGGUGUGCAGAGGAGGGAACAGAUAAAGUCAGUAGGUUUCCAGAUCCCCACGUAUCUGACUUAUGUGUAUAAAACUCAGAAGGAAAGGACUGGAUAUAAAAAAGGCAAGUUAGAGCAGAGAUCAUAGGUAAAUUACGACCUGAUUUGUUUACUUUUGCUGGAGGUGUUAAGCGGGUAAGUGCUACGGCAGGAAGUAAAACUAAACAGCGGGAACAAAAUUCAGAGUUUUUUAUUGCACUUGAAAAGUAGCCCAGACACCUCCCCUGCCCGCAGUGGGAGGUGAGUCAAAAAAGCGAGCGCUCUGGAAAUGCCUCUCUGUCCUUUUUCUUUAUCUGGCUUCCCUGCCGGAUAGAUGCCAUAGAACCCGGCAUUCCUGGAUGAACCUCUCUCAGGAAGUAACCUGCCCGAGAGAGCCGGUCCUACAGGACUUCCCAGCACGGGGGUGGGAGGGCGGCUGGCUCGGAGGCCGCCCGGCGAGGCAGAUCCCGGCCCGGAACCAGCAGCAUCUCCCCGUGUCCCGGCUUCCCCCAGGCGCGCGUUCCCCGGAGCGCCGCGCUCGGGCUGGGGGGCCGGGGCGCUGCCCCGGGAUGCGCGGCUCCGGCCGGGGCUCCGCUCCCGCUCCCGGCGCCGGGCCAGGCGGGGCUGCCGCCCACGGCCGCGGUGGAAGUGCC